UACGGAGGGUGCAAGCGUUGUUCGGAAUUACUGGGCGUAAAGCGCGUGUAGGCGGUCUUACAAGUCGGUUGUGAAAUCCCUUGGCUUAACCAAGGAACUGCAUCCGAAACUGUUCGACUCGAGUAUCGGAGGGGAUGGCGGAAUUCCCGGUGUAGAGGUGAAAUUCGUAGAUAUCGGGAGGAACACCUGUGGCGAAGGCGGCCAUCUGGAAGAUUACUGACGCUGAGACGCGAAAGCGUGGGGAGCAAACAGG
rnacentral:rRNA from 1 species